GCCGGGAUAGCUCAGUUGGUAGAGCAGAGGACUGAAAAUCCUCGUGUCCCCGUUUCAAAU
rnacentral:tRNA from 1 species